rnacentral:rRNA from 1 species
CGUAGGUGGCGAGCGUUGUCCGGAAUGACUGGGCGUAAGGGCGUGUAGGCGGUCCUGUAAGUCUGGGUGAAACCGGACGGCUCAACCGCCGGCCUGCCCUGGAAACUGCGGGCUAGAGUGGGCUAGAGGGCAGCGGAAUUCCCGGUGUAGCGGUGAAUGCGUAGAGAUCGGGAGGAACACCAGUGGCGAAGGCGGCUGCCUGGGGCCUAACUGACGCUGAGGCGCGAAAGCUGGGGAGCAAGCAGGAUU